UUCUCAUCUUCUAUACCUAAAAUCUCAUAGUCAAGCAAACAUCUUUGACUAUAUUCUCAAGAAACAAUCAUCUAACUAAAUCCACGUAAAAUCUCAUAAUCCAGCGUGAAAUUCGGUUUAGUAUCACAACCACCUAAGUAAAUUCAAAUGUCCAAGAUUAAUUAAUCCACCAAACAUCUUUAGAGUAUCUCCUCAAAAUCGCCAUCAACUAACUAAUCCAUCAAAAAUCUCAUAAUCCAUAAUAAAAUUUGGUUCAAGGCCACAAUCGCCUAAUUAAAUCCAAAUUGUUUCAAAUUUCUUAAAGAUUCACUUAUUUACCAAUAUAAUAAUCAACAUGCUCACCUAUUAGACCUAUUAGACCUAAAUUCACAUAAUCCACCGAACAUAUUUUACUAACUCGUCGAAAUCAAAAACACCUAACUAAAACCAACCAAAACACCCACCGUAAAAUUAGGUUAAAAGAUCACAAUCACCUAACUAAAUCCAAAUUGUUCAAAAUUUGUUAAUCCACCAAACAUCUUUGAACUCUCCCCAGGAUCACAAUCUACUAACUAAAUCCAUUAAAAAUCUCGUAAUCCACCGCGAAGUUUGUUCAAGAUCACAAUUGCCUAACUACAUCCAGAUUGCUCCAUGUUUACUAAAGAUUCAUUUAUCCACCAAUAUAAUAACAACCGUGGUCCCUUACUAGACCUAAAUUAGCAUAUUUCAUCAAUCAUCUCUAACUAUCUCUUUAAGAUCAGAGUCAUCUAACUAAAUCCAACAAAACCUCAAAAUCCAAUCAUGAAUUUGGUUGAGAAAAAGCAAUCACCUAACUAAAUCAAAAUUGUUCCAAACUAAAUUAAAGAUCUGUUUAUCCACCAAUAUAAAAUCACCAUUCUCAUCUUCUAUACCUAAAAUCUCAUAGUCAAGCAAACAUCUUUGACUAUAUUCUCAAGAAACAAUCAUCUAACUAAAUCCACGUAAAAUCUCAUAAUCCAGCGUGAAAUUCGGUUUAGUAUCACAACCACCUAAGUAAAUUCAAAUGUCCAAGAUUAAUUAAUCCACCAAACAUCUUUAGAGUAUCUCCUCAAAAUCGCCAUCAACUAACUAAUCCAUCAAAAAUCUCAUAAUCCAUAAUAAAAUUUGGUUCAAGGCCACAAUCGCCUAAUUAAAUCCAAAUUGUUUCAAAUUUCUUAAAGAUUCACUUAUUUACCAAUAUAAUAAUCAACAUGCUCACCUAUUAGACCUAUUAGAC
rnacentral:lncRNA from 1 species